ensembl:lncRNA
AGCAGUUGUUGGCACUGUUGCCUCAGAGCAAGAAGAUCCUGGAUUUGAAUCUGCUAACCUGGAGUCUAUCUGUGCAGAUGUGAGUAGCUGGGCUCUCUCUGUGCGUUCCUCUUCUUCCCAAAGGAAUGUGACUCUAAUUUGUGAAUAUGAGUGUGUAUAGUUGUCUUUCUUUGUGUCAACCUGGUGACAGACGUGAAACCUGUGCCCUGUUGUUGCCCAAUGACACCUGGGUUGGACUCUUGCCACCUUGAAUUGAAUAUGUUGGAUUGUGUGUCCACAGGUGUUUGUACUUUGCGUCGUAAUAAAAUGACGGUAAAAGGCUCCGCCCACUUCCUAUCCAUGUCUUACCAUGCAACGACUCUGUGAAUGGACUGGAGAAGUGUAGUGGUAGAGUCCUCCGUCAGGAAUGAGAUAUGUGUGUCGACUUUUUAUUCUCCCUUAAAAUUAUUAUGCCAUAACGCUGCACAGAGCAGCUCUGCUAACAGAAUACGCAGAAGAAAAAUGGACGGACCUUUAAUAAAGAUCUUCAUAUUUUGGGCGAGCACGUGUACUUAUACCAGGGUUUUAAUAGUUUUGCAAUUUUCAUUAGUUUUUAUUUUUAUUUAGUUUUGACUUCAGAUUUUCAAUUUUAUAUCAGUUGUAAUUCGUUUUUACCAAUUGUUUGCUAGUUUAGUUUAGUUUUUAUUUUUUUGAAAAUCCUUAGUUUCAGUUUAGUUUUGAUUAGUUUCAGUUAUAGUUUUAGUUGUGUUUGCAAAAAUUAAGUGUAACAAAAUCCCAGUUUCGUCAUAUCAGUCAUUCUCUUCUGCUUAUUUUUUGGGUAUGUUGCUAUUCCAGCUACCAUACCCUGCACCCUACACAGGUCGCCUAUCUGUCGCAGGGCUAACACGCAGAGACAGACAACUCACAUUUCCACCUAUGGGUUCUUUAAAUAAAUACAUACAGGCAGACAAACAACCAUUGAUACCAGGCAACUAUCCAUCCAUUCGCUUCCGCUUAUCCUUUUCAGGGUCGCGGGGAGCGCUGGAGCCUAUCCCAGCUGUCAUAGGGCAAGAGGCGGGGUACACCCUGGACAGGUCGCCAGUCUGUCGCAGGGCCAACACACAGGGACAGACAACCAUUCGCAUUCACUCG